AACAUCUGGGGACAGCGGGAAAACAUGAGUGACUCCAAGGAACCAAGGGUGCAGCAGCUGGGCCUCCUGGAAGAAGAUCCAACAACCAGUGGCAUCAGACUUUUUCCAAGAGACUUUCAAUUCCAGCAGAUACAUGGCCACAAGAGCUCUACAGGGUGUCUUGGCCAUGGCGCCCUGGUGCUGCAACUCCUCUCCUUCAUGCUCUUGGCUGGGGUCCUGGUGGCCAUCCUUGUCCAAGUGUCCAAGGUCCCCAGCUCCCUAAGUCAGGAACAAUCCGAGCAAGACGCAAUCUACCAGAACCUGACCCAGCUUAAAGCUGCAGUGGGUGAGCUCUCAGAGAAAUCCAAGCUGCAGGAGAUCUACCAGGAGCUGACCCAGCUGAAGGCUGCAGUGGGUGAGUUGCCAGAGAAAUCCAAGCUGCAGGAGAUCUACCAGGAGCUGACCCGGCUGAAGGCUGCAGUGGGUGAGUUGCCAGAGAAAUCCAAGCUGCAGGAGAUCUACCAGGAGCUGACCCGGCUGAAGGCUGCAGUGGGUGAGUUGCCAGAGAAAUCCAAGCUGCAGGAGAUCUACCAGGAGCUGACCCGGCUGAAGGCUGCAGUGGGUGAGUUGCCAGAGAAAUCCAAGCUGCAGGAGAUCUACCAGGAGCUGACGGAGCUGAAGGCUGCAGUGGGUGAGUUGCCAGAGAAAUCCAAGCUGCAGGAGAUCUACCAGGAGCUGACCCAGCUGAAGGCUGCAGUGGGUGAGUUGCCAGACCAGUCCAAGCAGCAGCAAAUCUAUCAAGAACUGACCGAUUUGAAGACUGCAUUUGGUGAGUUCCUGCACAUCAAGGGUCCUUGGGCCUGAGAUGGUCUCUGUGUGAUGUGACUUUACUUGAGUUACCAACCCUGCCUGAGCCUCAGUUUCCUCCCCUGUGAAAUGAGAACACGGGGUAACUGCGAUCAUUGCACUUGGUGUUCACAGUGGGCCAGGCACACAGUAGACACUCAGUUCAACCAAUCCGCUGCCUUCUGUUCUGAGCUCUAAAGCUGCUAAUUCUCCCAGUCUGGAAGAGAUGGAGCCAGGACUCCUGGGUUCUCCUGGGGAUCAGGGAGAGUCUUGGGAAGUAGGGAGAGGAAUGGUCUCUCCCCAUUCCAAGCGGUCCACCCAACAUGGACAGUCAAGGAAGGGCCCUGAUUUUCAAGGGCUUGAAGGCUGGGCAGAUAUGGGAAUAUGGACAACCUAAUCUGAGCCCAGCCCUGACCAGCCUCCCCCAACAGAACGCCUGUGCCGCCACUGUCCCAAGGACUGGACAUUCUUCCAAGGAAACUGUUACUUCAUGUCUAACUCCCAGCGGAACUGGCACGACUCCGUCACCGCCUGCCAGGAAGUGAGGGCCCAGCUCGUCGUAAUCAAAACUGCUGAGGAGCAGAACUUCCUACAGCUGCAGACUUCCAGGAGUAACCGCUUCUCCUGGAUGGGACUUUCAGACCUAAAUCAGGAAGGCACGUGGCAAUGGGUGGACGGCUCACCUCUGUCACCCAGCUUCCAGCGGUACUGGAACAGUGGAGAACCCAACAAUAGCGGGAAUGAAGACUGUGCGGAAUUUAGUGGCAGUGGCUGGAACGACAAUCGAUGUGACGUUGACAAUUACUGGAUCUGCAAAAAGCCCGCAGCCUGCUUCAGAGACGAAUAGUUGUUUCCCUGCUAGCCUCAGCCUCCAUUGUGGUAUAGCAGAACUUCACCCACUUGUAAGCCAGCGCUUCUUCUCUCCAUCCUUGGACCUUCACAAAUGCCCUGAGACGGUUCUCUGUUCGAUUUUUCAUCCCCUAUGAACCUGGGUCUUAUUCUGUCCUUCUGAUGCCUCCAAGUUUCCCUGGUGUAGAGCUUGUGUUCUUGGCCCAUCCUUGGAGCUUUAUAAGUGACCUGAGUGGGAUGCAUUUAGGGGGCGGGCUUGGUAUGUUGUAUGAAUCCACUCUCUGUUCCUUUUGGAGAUUAGACUAUUUGGAUUCAUGUGUAGCUGCCCUGUCCCCUGGGGCUUUAUCUCAUCCAUGCAAACUACCAUCUGCUCAACUUCCAGCUACACCCCGUGCACCCUUUUGACUGGGGACUUGCUGGUUGAAGGAGCUCAUCUUGCAGGCUGGAAGCACCAGGGAAUUAAUUCCCCCAGUCAACCAAUGGCAUCCAGAGAGGGCAUGGAGGCUCCAUACAACCUCUUCCACCCCCACAUCUUUCUUUGUCCUAUACAUGUCUUCCAUUUGGCUGUUUCUGAGUUGUAGCCUUUAUAAUAAAGUGGUAAAUGUUGUAACUGCA